GUUCUAUUGGUUAACCUGACAUGGGAUGACUUCAGGCACUGGGAUCCCCCAGGACUGCUUUGGUGCCAAGUCUGUGUAGCCUGCAGCAGGUGGAAGAAGGCCUCCCUGGUCUGGGAUUUAUUGUGUAUCAAGGGUCUUAGAACAGCUGCGCUUGGCUCCCAUUAGGAACUUGUCCAACAGGUAUGCUUUUAUUCUUGGGAAACACAAGCGUUGAAAGAUACAGAAGCAAAAAGAGAAUAAUUUAACAACCAUCUGCAUACUUGCCAUGUGUAAUGAACAGGUAUUAAUGUUUAUUGAUAUUUGCUUCAUACAUUGCUGUUAAUACAAUAAUAUCACUGUCAAGUUGGAGCUGCCUCUUAGUCCUAUUCCAGAUCACCCCCUCCUGCCCAAGAGACAACUCUUUGGAUGAAUUUCAUGUAUAACAUACUGGUCAAAUAUGCGUACUUUGAAUUGAAUCCAUAAACCAUAUGCUGAAGUUUUGAACAUUUUAUACAAAUAUUAUCAUACACUAUUCAUCUUUCUGUAAUUAGCUUCAAUUUCAUUCAACACGAAGUUUCGUUUUAAAGGUCUGUGUUGAUGCCUUUAAAUCUAGUGCAUUUGUUUAAAUUGCUGAAUUGUAGUCCACUGAUGGAUGCUUAAGUUGGGUUUUUAGAUUUUAUCUACAACAUCUGUUUUGCAAGGAUCCAGGCAUCACAUCCUUUACAGAAGGCUGUGCAGAUUCAGAUUUAGGGAUAGAUAAACCAACAGGUGUUUCUGAGACAUCCAUGAGUCUCUCUGGAUGAAGGCUAUUUAUUUAUGUAUUUAUCCUUUCUAAGUUCAAUUUACCAUUCCAGACACUUUUUAUCCCCCUAGGAUGAAUCCUUAUUUUACUCAUAGUGUUGUAUUUUGACUUUGAUAAGACCUUGGAACACUCCCUUAAUAUUUUCAUAUAUGUCUGAACCCCAGGGAAUAAUAUAGAUGCAGAUUUCCAUGGUCUGUCCCUUCAAUUAACAAAACAUGUUCGCAAAUGCCAAAAAUGAGCAGCAGAGUUGAGCAGAAUAUCCAAGUUCACUAAUAAACCUUCAGAACUGCUACUCUUCUUCA
rnacentral:lncRNA from 1 species